rnacentral:rRNA from 1 species
CCUACGGGGGCAGCAGUGGGGAAUAUUGGACAAUGGGCGAAAGCCUGAUCCAGCCAUGCCGCGUGUGUGAAGAAGGCCUUCGGGUUGUAAAGCACUUUCAGUGGGGAAGAAAGCCUUGGGGCUAAUACCCUCGAGGAAGGACAUCACCCACAGAAGAAGCACCGGCUAACUCCGUGCCAGCAGCCGCGGUAAUACGGAGGGUGCGAGCGUUAAUCGGAAUUACUGGGCGUAAAGCGCGCGUAGGCGGUCUGAUAAGCCGGUUGUGAAAGCCCCGGGCUCAACCUGGGAACGGCAUCCGGAACUGUCACGCUAGAGUGCAGGAGAGGAAGGUAGAAUUCACGGUGUAGCGGUGAAAUGCGUAGAGAUCGGGAGGAAUACCAGUGGCGAAGGCGGCCUUCUGGACUGACACUGACGCUGAGGUGCGAAAGCGUGGGUAGCAAACAGGAUUAGAUACCCCAGUAGUC